UCCCCGCCGGACCUGACUGCUAUCGGAUUGAUACUAAGCCAUGCGAGUCGUUGUAGCAAUACAAGGCAUACGGCUCAGUAACGCGUAGUCAACCUAACCUAUGGACGGGAAUAACCUCGGGAAACUGAGAAUAAUGCCCGAUAGAACAUUAUGCCUGGAAUGGUUUAUGUUCCAAAUGAUUUAUCGCCGUAGGAUGGGACUGCGGCCUAUCAGUUUGUUGGUGAGGUAAUGGCCCACCAAGACUAUUACAGGUACGGGCUCUGAGAGGAGUAGCCCGGAGAUGGGUACUGAGACACGGACCCAGGCCCUAUGGGGCGCAGCAGGCGAGAAAACUUUGCAAUGUGCGAAAGCACGACAAGGUUAAUCCGAGUGGUUUCUGCUAAAGAAACCUUUUGUCAGUCCUAGAAACACUGAUGAAUAAGGGGUGGGCAAGUUCUGGUGU
rnacentral:rRNA from 1 species